GGAGAAGUGCCGGAGUGGUUGAACGGGACGGUCUCGAAAACCGUUGUGGGGGUAACUCCACCCAGGGUUCGAAUCCCUGCUUCUCCGCCA
rnacentral:tRNA from 2 species